rnacentral:lncRNA from 1 species
CGGUAGGCGGAGCAGCUGUUCAGGGCCGGGCUGAGGAAGCGCCCGGUGGCCGGGGCGCUCCCGGGGAAGCCCCCGGGGACCAGCGGGGGGCUGUAGGGCAGGCUCAGCGGGCAGCCCUCCGGAGCCGGGGCGUCGGGGAAGUAGAACCGCUCCGGGACGCCCAUCUUCAGCUCGGCCGGCUCCUUGGCCCCCGGCAGAUCCAGCGGCUCCUUGGCAAAACUUUGGCUGUCGGUGCCAUUCAGCAUGGUGAGCGCGGGGCUGCUGGCUCCGGAGGCUGGGUCCAGGGCUCCCANCCAGGGCUCCCUUCGACUUGCCAGGCGAGGGGGGGGGGGGGUGUUUGCGGGGGGGGGAAGAUCAGCCCCCUCCCCUGCCUCAGCAACUCAUCCGGGUCGUGCAAAAAAAUAAAAUCAAAAGCGAGACCCCCGCCGGGCACCAAACUCUGGGCUGCGCUCGCCCCGCAGCUCCCGGCCCGACUUCAGCGGCGGCUGAGUCCGUUUCACACGUUUCACACGCGGGGCCGGGGCUCCAUCGCCGGGCCGGGCACGCCAGGAGCAAAGGCAGCAGAACCCCCCCUGCCCCCGGCCAAGCUCGGUUUGUACAAAAUCCUUCUAACUAAAGAGCCCGCUGGGUUCCAGGGGGCGGGGGGGAGUUUCCCCCGACACCUCCCCUCUUUCCAAGGGUCACCCGAAGGGGGGGGAUUUCCCCCCACUCCUGGGAGCUGCCUCGUCUGCCCCGCUCCGUCACUCCACCUGCUCCAUCCUCUGCCUCCAAGAGCCACUCUGGCCUCCCUCUUAUUAAAAGCAGCGGCACUUGGGGCUGCGAGGCUCCGCCUCCUCCCGUGAUGGCCACGCCCCCUUGGAGGCACCUCCCAUUGUGAACAGGGACUUGGGAUGGGGGAGAGGGACUGUCCAGCCAGAGGGGAAAAGGGAAUUUAGGGCCCCGAUCCUGCCAGGACAGAUGCAUGUGCUCCACUAGACUCAUAGACUCAUAGAACAUCAGGGUUGGAAGGGAC